GAACGAUGAAACUUAAAUGAUUUCUUCGGAAUGAACUUAAGUGGAUUAGUGGCGGACGGGUGAGUAACGCGUGAGUAACCUGCCUUACACAAGGGGAUAGCCGUUGGAAACGACGAAUAAUACCCUAUGAAACUAUCACUUCGCAUGAAGCGAUAGUCAAAGUGUUAGCGGUGUAAGAUGGACUUGCGUCUGAUUAGCUAGUUGGUGAGAAAAAAGCCCACCAAGGCAACGAUCAGUAGCCGGCUUGAGAGAGUGUACGGCCACAUUGGGACUGAGACACGGCCCAGACUCCUACGGGAGGCAGCAGUGGGGAAUUUUGCACAAUGGGGGAAACCCUGAUGCAGCGACGCCGCGUGAUUUAGAAGGCCUUCGGGUUGUAAAGAUCUUUUGUAUAGGAAGAAAAUGACAGUACUAUACGAAUAAGGUCCGGCUAAUUACGUGCCAGCAGCCGCGGUAAUACGUAAGGACCGAGCGUUGUCCGGAAUCAUUGGGCGUAAAGGGUACGUAGGCGGGUCAUUAAGUUAGAAGUCAAAGGCUAUAGCUCAACUAUAGUAAGCUUCUAAAACUGGAGACCUUGAGUAAUGGAAGGGAAAGUGGAAUUCCUAGUGUAGCGGUGGAAUGCGCAGAUAUUAGGAGGAAUACCGGUGGCGAAGGCGACUUUCUGGCCAUUAACUGACGCUGAGGUACGAAAGCGUGGGUAGCAAACAGGA
rnacentral:rRNA from 2 species